GGGGAGCAAACAGGAUUAGAUACCCUGGUAGUCCACGCCGUAAACGAUGUCUACUUGGAGGUUGUGCCCUUGAGGCGUGGCUUCCGGAGCUAACGCGUUAAGUAGACCGCCUGGGGAGUACGGCCGCAAGGUUAAAACUCAAAUGAAUUGACGGGGGCCCGCACAAGCGGUGGAGCAUGUGGUUUAAUUCGAUGCAACGCGAAGAACCUUACCUGGUCUUGACAUCCACGGAAGWWUYCAGAGAUGRRWWUGUGCCUUCGGGAACCGUGAGACAGGUGCUGCAUGGCUGUCGUCAGCUCGUGUUGUGAAAUGUUGGGUUAAGUCCCGCAACGAGCGCAACCCUUAUCCUUUGUUGCCAGCGGUYMGRCCGGGAACUCAAAGGAGACUGCCAGUGAUAAACUGGAGGAAGGUGGGGAUGACGUCAAGUCAUCAUGGCCCUUACGACCAGGGCUACACACGUGCUACAAUGGCGCAUACAAAGAGAAGCGACCUCGCGAGAGCAAGCGGACCUCAUAAAGUGCGUCGUAGUCCGGAUUGGAGUCUGCAACUCGACUCCAUGAAGUCGGAAUCGCUAGUAAUCGUGGAUCAGAAUGCCACGG
rnacentral:rRNA from 1 species